rnacentral:rRNA from 1 species
CUGUUGCCUCGGCGGGGUCACGCCCCGGGUGCGUCGCAGCCCCGGAACCAGGCGCCCGCCGGAGGAACCAACCAAACUCUUUCUGUAGUCCCCUCGCGGACGUAUUUCUUACAGCUCUGAGCAAAAAUUCAAAAUGAAUCAAAACUUUCAACAACGGAUCUCUUGGUUCUGGCAUCGAUGAAGAACGCAGCGAAAUGCGAUAAGUAAUGUGAAUUGCAGAAUUCAGUGAAUCAUCGAAUCUUUGAACGCACAUUGCGCCCGCCAGUAUUCUGGCGGGCAUGCCUGUCCGAGCGUCAUUUCAACCCUCGAACCCCUCCGGGGGAUCGGCGUUGGGGAUCGGGACCCCUCACACGGGUGCCGGCCCCGAAAUACAGUGGCGGUCUCGCCGCAGCCUCUCCUGCGCAGUAGUUUGCACAACUCGCACCGGGAGCGCGGCGCGUCCACGUCCGUAAAACACCCAACUUUCUGAAAUGUUGACCUCGGAUCAGGUAGGAAUACCCGCUGAACUUAAGCAUAUCAUA